GAACUGUCAACUUCAUUGUGUUUAUUCAUGUAAGCCGACGACCAUUAGGGCAUAAUAAAAUAAAACGUUUUUAACUGAAAAUAACAGUUAACAUUUUAUAAGAAUAUGAAAAAAUAAAGAAAAUAGUGUUAACAGUGACGAAUUGCAAAAUUGGAGGGAAAAAACCACAAGAUCGGAGAAGAAAAUGCAACUUUCGCGUUCAAGGUCAAUUGCGGCGUCCUUUCGUCGAUAGCAUAGCUACACGGACGUGAUAAAUAUCGAGAUAAAAAUGUAGCAGGCCAUGGAUGUACCUACAUUAAUAGUGCCAGCGAACGAAUGUUUAAUGCAUACAUAACUAAAAUUCCGAAAAGGAACAUAAACGUCGGCAAGUGAAGAAUGAAGCGAGUUAAUUUUGACCUUGUUGGAAGGAGGCACCGCACCAGAAGGUUAAAUAUGGGAAUAAUCCUUCUAGGACAAUCUUGUUGUUUGCUUGCAGAUAUAUAAUUACGAACAUUACAAAACAACAAUGACCCGGACAAGAUUAUGAAAAAAUACUCUGCCUUGUUAAAUUACUAGUGCUCUGAAGAUGAACCCAGAGACUCAAGCUGCGGCUGGUGAGACGUUUGUCAGUUGGGAACAAGGCUAGGUAUUGAAAUGAAACAAAAUAAAGUUUCCUGUGACCUGUUCUCUCACUGUGAUGAUUUAGCACUCAAUAAAUUGUCUGCUGUAACCAGCUAUGAAAAGUUUCAGUAGUGUCCUUGCCUGGUUACCCCGGUGUUAUCCGGGAAGUUCCAUCACUGAAGGAGCGGAAAAGAGAAGGAGAAAGGAGGAACUUUCGAUUGGUGCGGCCAACAGCAUGGUGGGGUGGAGUCUCUUAUGCCCAACACCGUCAAGCAGUAUCGUAAACACUUGAAACACUGGUGUAUGUUUUGUGGAAAUAAUUACAUUAAUUAUCUUAUCGCAUCUUUUCUAGCAAUGUUUGCCAUUCUGAAAGCAUUAUGUGAUGAGGGAUCUAGGUAUGGAAGUGUCCAUUUUUCUAAAUCUGCUCAUGUGCUUAUAUUGGGAUAUAGACGACUCCUCAAAUGAUAGAGUGAAACGCUUUAUGAAGAACGUAUUGUUUCGAUUACACCCACCUCAACCUUAAAGUGUGACCUGGGACCCUUAAUCAGUCUCAAAUUAUUUAUCAACAAUGCCACCAAUGAAAAUUUUUCAUUACAGAAUUAAGAGAAAGUUAUGAAAUUGCUUAGGUACUUGCCUUAUUUGCUAUUGUUACUGCACGCAGCGUGCAAACCCUGUCCUUGAUAAAAUAUGUAAUUUUUACUAUUAUUCUGAUUUUCUGACCAAGUCCUUACAAAAAUUUCAGCUACCUUUGCUAUCCGUAGCAUUUUUCAAGGAAAAACUAAUUUGAAAUGGAAUGAGGCUUGCUCAGGGCGAAUAUAUUUUAGCUACUUAUAUAUAAAAAUAACGAAUGGUAUUCAUUCAGUUGUUAGUAAUUAUUUAUUGCCCUCAAAAACCUCAUAUGACCAUCACUUCCCAAACGAUUUGUUCUUGAUUAAGUCAACUUUUAAAGAUAGUGGUAUUGAUAUUUUUGUUUUCACCACCCAUUCAACCUAUUAUGCGUUGGUUUCAGGAUCCAAACCAAAAUCAUUUAGGAGUAAUAUUGAUGGAAAGAAAAACAUCAAGUCCGAGUCUAAUGAUUUUGCUCAUUUCAUAAUAAGGCCAUAGUGCCAUCCAAUGAUUGUGCUUGAUCCUUAGUUAAGGAGAAAAUAAGUGUUACUAAAGGUUGUAAGUAGCAACACACCGUUCUGUUAAAUGGUAUUAAUGAAAUACCUAUUAAUAAGGAACAAUUCAUUUUUUGUUUCAACUAUUGUUGAGGAUGCCUAAGCAGGUCUUCAAGGAAGACUUCUUAUUAAAACUUUUGUACUUGUAUUUAUUUAUAUAAUAAAUAAAUAAGGAUCAAAUUACAGUACAA